rnacentral:rRNA from 1 species
UACGGGGGUGGCGAGCGUUACUCGGAUUUAUUGGGUGUAAAGGACAGGUAGGCGUCCCGGAAAGUCAGACGUGAAAGCCUAAGGCUCAACCUUAGAACUGCAUCUGAAACUUCCGGGAUUGAGGCUUGAAGAAGAAAGCGGAAUUCCCGGUGUAAGGGUGAAAUCUGUAGAUAUCGGGAGGAACACCAGUGGCGAAGGCGGCUUUCUGGACAACUACUGACGCUGAAACGCGAGAGCUAGGGGAGCAAACAGG